CUUUUCCUUCUGCCCCCAGAGAAGGAGGGCUGAGUGCGGGCGUGUGGAGCAGAGAGCAGCUCCCAGGCGGUGGCCCUGGCAGAAGGCUUCCUCCUGAGCCAGGCGGAGGAGCAAAAGGAGCAGCUCCAGCUGCAGUGCUGCACUGUGGAGAUCAAAGAUCCUGAGGGAAAGAAGAACCCAUCAAAUCCCCCUCAGGAGCAUUUUUUCAGGAGGAUCCCUUGGGAAGAUCCAAGUCAGGACACCUCAGGAGAGAAGCAAAGAAUGAAGCUUUCUGGUUUUUAGGACAGAGCUCAAACAGCUGUUGAACCUCCAAAUCAAGUAAGAAAGGGAAAAGAUAUUAGAUUUCUAUUCUCCCUUCAGGAAGUGAAGCGGGUGUGCAGAGUGCUCUCUCCUUCUAUUUCUCCCCCUUUGGCCUGGAUUAUUUUUGUGUUCUUCCACAACAUGGAGAGCAGAAUAGCAGAUUCAAGUUGCUGUCAGCCAGCAUAGCUUCCUCUGGUUAUCUUGUUCUGCUAGGUACUCCUCCAGCUUUGACUUUGCAGGAAGCAAUUUUUUAAAAGUCCUUCAAGAAAUAGGAAUAAACGUAUCACAGUGGCAGGAACUGCUAGAGACCCUUUUUGGGGAGUGAUUCUUUGACUCGGAAUUGUGCAAGGCUAAUGAAAAAUAAAUAAUCACAUUGCCACAUUACCAUU